GCCCCCGUAGCUCAGAUGGAUAGAGCAACGGAUUUCUAAUCCGUUGGUCGCUGGUUCGAGUCCAGCCGGGGGCG
rnacentral:tRNA from 1 species